rnacentral:sRNA from 1 species
GUGGAGAGCGCUGGGAGCGGUUGCGGCGUGCGGGGAGCUGAGGUAUAGCUGUGACUUCUGCCCUGCCAGGCCGCGCACGAGCUGGCUGACCCGGUUUGUAAAAAUGGAAUUUCAAGCAGUAGUGAUGGCAGUAGGUGGAGGAUCUCGGAUGACAGACCUAACUUCCAGCAUUCCCAAACCUCUGCUUCCAGUUGGGAACAAACCUUUAAUUUGGUACCCAUUGAACCUGCUUGAGCGUGUUGGAUUUGAAGAAGUCAUUGUGGUUACAACCAGGGAUGUUCAAAAGGCUCUAUGUGCAGAAUUCAAGAUGAAAAUGAAGCCAGAUAUUGUGUGUAUUCCUGAUGAUGCUGACAUGGGAACUGCAGAUUCUUUGCGCUACAUAUAUCCAAAACUUAAGCUACCCAAACCUCUUUCCCUGACUUAUCAAGAGAGAUUAUUGGUUCAUUCAUUCUCCCAGGCCCUGGACAGAUGUGCUGGUGCUGAGCUGUGAUCUGAUAACAGACGUUGCCUUACAUGAGGUUGUGGACCUGUUUAGAGCUUAUGAUGCAUCACUUGCUAUGUUGAUGAGAAAAGGCCAAGAUAGCUUAGAACCUGUUCCCGGUCAAAAGGGGAAAAAAAAAGCAGUACCUGGCCCAGUUAUGUCCCAUGGUGAGCAAUCAAUAAAUAUUAUUGAAUGGCCUGCUUAUAAAGGCAGCUCUUCUUGCCCCCCACCCCAGUGGAGCAGCGUGACUUCAUUGGAGUGGACAGCACAGGAAAGAGGCUGCUCUUUAUGGCUAAUGAAGCAGACUUGGAUGAAGAGCUGGUCAUUAAGGGAUCCAUCCUACAGAA